CACGGGGGGAGCAAGCGUUGUUCGGAAUGACUGGGCGUAAAGGGCGCGUAGGCGGUUUGGUUAGUUAGGCGUGAAAUUCCUGGGCUCAACCUGGGGGCUGCGCUUAAUACAGCCAGACUAGAGUGUGAAAGAGGGUCGUGGAAUUCCCAGUGUAGAGGUGAAAUUCGUAGAUAUUGGGAAGAACACCGGUGGCGAAGGCGGCGACCUGGUUCAUUACUGACGCUGAGGCGCGAAAGCGUGGGGAGCAAACAGG
rnacentral:rRNA from 1 species